rnacentral:rRNA from 1 species
GCUUGUCUCAAAGAUUAAGCCAUGCAUGUCUAAGUAUAAGCAAUCUAUACCGUGAAACUGCGAAUGGCUCAUUAAAUCAGUUAUCGUUUAUUUGAUAGUACCUUACUACUUGGAUAACCGUGGUAAUUCUAGAGCUAAUACAUGCUAAAAGCCUCGACUUCGGAAGGGGCGUAUUUAUUAGAUAAAAAACCAAUGCCCUUCGGGGCUCUCUGGUGAUUCAUAAUAACUUAACGAAUCGCAUGGCCUUGUGCCGGCGAUGGUUCAUUCAAAUUUCUGCCCUAUCAACUUUCGAUUGUAAGGUCUUGGCUUACAAUGGUUUCAACGGGUAACGGGGAAUUAGGGUUCUAUUCCGGAGAGGGAGCCUGAGAAACGGCUACCACUACCAAGGAAGGCAGCAGG